AUGAAGUUAGCCCCUCAAAAAAAAUUUUUUUUCCUGUUUUCUACUUAUUUUCUAUUAAUUCGUUUGUUCAUCAUUUGUUCUUGAUUGUUCAUUGUUAAUAAUUGUUUGUUCCCCAUUUAUUUAUUUUAAAAAAAAUAUUAAAAAUAUAUCUAAAAGUUAGCCCCUCGAUUGCAAUUUUUAAUAUUUUUUCGUCCUUAAUUACUUGUAAAUAUUCAUUUUCGAUUGUUCUUAUAUAAAAUACGUUUGUUCUCUUUCGAAAUUACUCAUUUUUUGUUUAAUUAAUUGUAUUAGUUGAAUAAAUGUAUACAAAAUAUGUGUACUGCGCAUGCCAUAAGUGUAUAAUCUAUGGCGCAUGCGUCAACUAUAAUGCCUAAACUUUCUACGCGGUUUUAAUCGUGAAAAAAAAACAAUUAUAAAUCCUGAAGGAUCAAUUAAUUGGUAUACAGUUUAAUUAAAAAAAUUAAAAACAAAAUAAAUAAAAUAAUGUGCAUUCGCGUAAAGUUAGACCAAAUACAUUUUUUCCAUCCUCCUAUAUACCUAUCGCUAUGAAGGUAUAAAAAAGAUAGGUUAAGAGUUCACAUAGGUAAUAUAAACAAAUAAGUAAAUAUGUUCAUUAUUUAUCUUUCAAGAGAUAAUGUAGGUAUACAUUAUAAUAACAUUUUGACACAGUCGAAAUUAUAUUCCUAACAUUAGUAAAAUAACAUUUUAAUAUUUUUUUUAUAGGUUAUGUAUUGAAAUUGUUGGAAAAUUAUUUCAUGUUUUAGCUGGAAAACUACAUGGAGAAUUAUAUGCAAUACAAGAUAAUGAGCUCCAUUAAAUGAAUUCGAAUGAAACCAAACUGUUUACCAUCCAAAUUCGAUUGUCGGGCAGAUAGAAAACGAAAAUUCACUCAUAGUGAACCUCGGCCUGCAUUUGUGAAACGGCAAAGACUCACUAUUAUCAAGGAAAUUGAAGAGACAACUAAAAAUGAGAUGUGUCGUAUUAUUAUACCUUUGCCAUCUUGUAGUCAAGAUGUCCAGCCACUUGAAAAUAGGUGUAGUAAUGACAAAGCUAUCCAAGUAGCUCCAGCACAGGAACACAAAGGCAAGGCAAGUGUGUAUUGCCACAUCACCCCUUAAUAUAUCUGAAGCAAGUAUAAGUAAACAAUCAGAACCAGCAAAAAAAAAACUGUUGUUCCUGAGGACAAAUUUGACAGUGAUGAGUCAAAUGCACCAGCAACAGAAGGAUCAACUGUUGACUAUGAGUUAUCUCUCUAUAUCUCCACUCCAUCAAAGACUUGUGCACUUCAGACUAUAGCUCUCAAGAAGACUAAAAAGUUGAAAAAAUGAAUGUGUUAACAACUUUAUCUAAAGUGAAAAAUAAACAACGUUUAUAUAUUGGUCUUCCACAAGAAUUAUGUUUCAUAAUAGGCUUGAUUGAGAAACAUACAAAUGUUUCUGAACAAAAUAUUAUAUUAUGUCUGAUGAGAAUAACAUUAAAUAGAACAUUCUCUCAAUUGGCUGAUGAUUUCGAUUUAUCUGUAAGUCAAGCAAGCAAUAUAUUUUUCAACAAACUCCCAGAAAUUGCAAAUGUAAUAUCACCCCUUGUUAGACUAUAAAAAAAACAAUACAAUAAAUAUAUAUGCAGGAAGGAUAAUUGAUGUCAACUUGGUGGAAAAUAGAAAGUUUUUAGAUAGUUUGCCACCUACAAAACUCUUUAAUUAAAUAAGUAAUCCUUACUUAUAAAUAGGAAGUUUUGUAAGUAUUUUCACUCUUCAUUCAAAAACUACUGAACAGAUUUUAAUAAGACUUUUAUGCUGGUCUUCUAUGGCUAGCAACUCAUUAUUAUUUUGAUUCUGUUUUCCACAAAUGUGCUAAAUAUGGGCUUAUAUAUAUGAAAAGGAAUAAAUAUUAAUGUUAUGUAACCUUUGUACCUGUAUGUUAAGAAUAAUUUUUAAUAAAACAUAAUUUAAAUUGAAA